CCUACGGGACGCAGCAGUGGGGGAUAUUGGACAAUGGGGGAAACCCUGAUCCAGCGAUGCCGCGUGAGGGAAGAAGGUUUUCGGAUUGUAAACCUCUGUGGAGGGGGACGAUAAUGACGGUACCCCUUUAGGAAGCCACGGCUAACUACGUGCCAGCAGCCGCGGUAAUACGUAGGUGGCGAGCGUUGUCCGGAAUUACUGGGUGUAAAGGGCGCGUAGGCGGGAAUGCAAGUCAGAUGUGAAAUCCAUGGGCUUAACCCAUGAACUGCAUUUGAAACUGUAUUUCUUGAGUGUCGGAGAGGUAG
rnacentral:rRNA from 1 species